rnacentral:lncRNA from 1 species
ACUUCAGAAAUGGUUCAUGCAACUGAUCAUUGAUUCAGAGGUAAUUCCAACAUUUACUAAUAGAUUGGUUAUAGUUGUCUCGCACGCGCUAAACAACCAACCCUUCCGUAAUUUAUCGAUAGCUAAGGUACGACCGUUAGCUAUUUCUCUAACCCAAAAACAACUCUAGGUACGACCGUAGGAUUUAAUUUCCAGAUUGCAUUAUUAAUUAGAAAGGCCCAAUCCUGACUAACAAACACGCUACGAGGGUUUAUUCAAGCCAGAUCAAAUAUUCCAAGAUACAAUCAAGAUACGAAGUACAAUCAGAAUAUACGAAGCUAAUCAAGAUACGAAGCUAAUCACAGCAGUUCAUACCAAAAACGGCAUCCCAAUUUCCCCAAUAACCUCAUCGAAAUCAGAAUAUACCAAAUCAGCAAUGCUCACAGUUCAAAGUGCACUCGUUCACUCCAAAGUGUAUAUGAAAUGUAUAUAAGAUGGCUCUCAAAUCAACACAACAGAAUGACACUACCAUAAGCUUGCUCAUAUAUCAUAUCUCCACCACCUACUCAUGAAUUUAAACGCAGCAAUCAAGGGACUUGCAUGGUUGUAAUGGGGCUAGGGUGAAAAGGUAGGAUAAAAAGGAGUCAAGAGGGUGUAAAAGUAUAAAGGAAGUGCUCAGAAAUUCAUUACACAGACUCUUGCACAUUGGGAACUUCAAGGCAUCUCAACCACUACACAAGUGAAGCAAAUUAGCACUUGCCGCAACCUUCGACUUUUCUCCUCUUUUCAUUCAUCAACUCACCUUCUUUUUUUUCUUUUUUUCUUUUUUCCUAUUUUUUUUUUUUGAUAUAACGCCCAACCAGCACCCUAGAAAUCAACUUUACUUGCUGGUUUUCCGUACUUUGUCUUCUUUUCACAUUUGCCCUUUUUUCUUUUUUCAUUGAUCGGUGCAAUGCCUCUCAAGUAAUACUCCAAAAUUCUGUAUAAUGAAAUCAAAGCACUUCUUCACACGAGGUUCAAAAAGAAAGUCUAAAAAGAGGUUUCACGGCUAAGAGCUGGGGUCUCAAGCAACGAAUAGGGGUUAAGGCUCAACUUGGCUCCCUAAUGAUAGUAAAUAAUCCAAGGGUUGGUUUUAAGAAAGUCCAAAAAUGGCUCAUUCCUAGGUGCCCUAUCAUUUCAAUGCAUUAAACUCAUUUAAAUGUGGUCUUGACAUGCAUAACCGAGCAAGUUCUAGAAUGACAAACCAUGUGCACUAACCACUCAAACAAACGAAAAAUUAGGCCCAAAAAUCGUACAAGUGGUCAAAUUGAUGUCAAAUCCAGCAUAUUCAUCAAUCAAUUCAAUAUUUAGGAAAAUAGAACACCCCACGGCAUGAACUUACUGCUUAUACUCACAUCUCAAUUGUAUUCAUCACAAUUUAAAGAAAAAAAACUACUAAGGCAAGGAAAAUGCACAUAAAACAGCUCAAAGCACAACUAAUGCAUAAUUAACCCUCCCCCACACCUAAACCUUUCAUUGUCCUCAAUGGAAGCGGAUAAAGAGGAAAAUAAAGCGAUAAAGGCAACAACACUUCCCUUAAUACGGCGGAGGGCAGAGGUAAGGCAAAUGUGCACAAAAGAGGUCAACAGGCAGCUGAUUCAGUAAAAGGGUCCCAAUCACAGUUUCCAGUCACAGACAAGUGCACAACCAAACAAUAAAAUUACCCCAAAAGCUAACUAAUCCUGUGAAUCAGCAAAAUACUUUCCCAAAUACUACCAAAUAAACCCAAGAAUCAAUUAAUUAGGUAAGCACAACAAUUUUUCCCCAAAACUAAUUAAACAGGCAACCAGGGUAAAAAUUCCCCCCA